UCCUCUCUCCUUGCGCUAAACUGUACAAAAUAUAUUAUUUUCAUGGGCAAACUUAUAGAAGUAGGAUGGUCCUUUUUACCUUGGAGACAUUGUCUUGUAGUUGAGGUUGGAGAUGCAGAGCUUGGUGCAGCAUAUGGAUAAGGCACGCCCAGUUUGACUUGCAUAAACCACUACACAACAUUAUAUGCUAGGAACGACGGGAUGCACGUCAGAAAACUUGUCAUGAAUGAUGCUUCAACGGAUGCUGCAGUCAUCUCAUCUCCCUUACAGGCAUGGAAAGAGAAUAGGAAAAACGAUAUACUUGCAGCUUCAGGCAGCAUUGAGUUUGCUGCACAUAGUUAGUUCCCUAGGGAAUGUUCAGUCUGGUGAAACAUGUUAAGAAGAAGUAUGGAAAUCUGCCUGUGUUCAUUACUAAGAAUGGCAUGAUAGGUUGAAAUAUGUCUUCAAGAUGAUAAGAGGAUACAGUACCACAACGAAUACAUGUUAGAUGCUAUAAGGUGAUUUCAUUUCUCUGUGCAUAUGCUAGAACUGAACCACCAACACUGAGCAUCAUCAAUGUGUGCCACUGUAAUCGCUGACCAGAUUGGUACUUAAGUGCUCGAUAUGCAGCCUGAACUACUGCAGUUAGAAUGGAGUUGUUUUAAAUACUAGACUAUCUACAGGACUGAGCGCUACAGGUGCAGAGGAUAGUUCUUUCGAUUAAUUGUCGUGUUGAGGCAAGUGCACGGCGGACCUUUUCUCCAUAUACUUGACUGUGUUGUUGACGCAGGUCUAUGAAAAUAAGUUGAGUAGUCUGACUAGAGGAUGACAGAGGACGUCGAGAUUUUGAUCCAGCAGCCUUGCCCCCUUUCGUACGGCGUGCCGCCUGCAGGAGGUUACGUUCUAGAUCUUCAGAAUUUUUAGGUACUCACUCUCCCUUGAUGCUCUUUGAUCGAACCUACUUUGCAGGAAAGCGUGCCAGUAGUAAGAAGUUUUAGCAAGUCUGUUAUUGAAAGUGCUGUAGGCACUGAUGUGAUCCGAGGUGACCAACCUGAGCAGCAGUUUAGUGAAGGUGUUUGAUACAGUUCUCCUAAAAAGGGAGAAGUGUCUGAGGAAAUCUACUUGCUCUUUCAAGCUAUGAAUAUUUUAGAGUAUAUUUUAAGGUUGUAAAGACUGAUGUGUCGGCUAAAGCUUAAAGAUCAUAAAUUCAUUGUUUACCCUACCAAGUUUAUUUCUCAUUGAAGAUUAUUCUAGAAACUAUAUUAUAAGCCCAUUGCUACUUUUUACAUGUAACUUAUGGUAUAUCCUCAUAUAUGUCAAGACUAUAAAACAAGUGUC